rnacentral:rRNA from 1 species
UACAGAGGGUGCGAGCGUUAAUCGGAAUUACUGGGCGUAAAGCGCGCGUAGGCGGCUUUGCAAGUCGGGUGUGAAAUCCCCAGGCUUAACCUGGGAACUGCAUUCGAGACUGCAUUGCUAGAGUAUGGGAGAGGGAAGUGGAAUUUCCGGUGUAGCGGUGAAAUUCGUAGAUAUCGAAAGGAACAUCAGUGGCGAAAGCGACUUCCUGGACCAAUACUGACGCUCAUGUGCGAAAGCGUGGGGAGCAAACAGG